GCACCCGUAGCUCAGCUGGAUAGAGCGCUGCCCUCCGAAGGCAGAGGCCACUGGUUCGAAUCCAGUCGGGUGCA
rfam:Celeribacter baekdonensis B30 contig4, whole genome shotgun sequence.